UGGGGGAUAUUGCACAAUGGGGGGAACCCUGAUGCAGCGACGCCGCGUGAGUGAAGAAGUAAUUCGUUAUGUAAAGCUCUAUCAGCAGGGAAGAAGAAAUGACGGUACCUGAGUAAGCAAGCCCCGGCUAACUACCGUGCCAGCAGCCCGCGGUAAUACGUAGGGGGCAAGCGUUAUCCGGAUUUACUGGGUGUAAAGGGAGCGUAGACGGCGAUGUCAAGCCAGAUGUGAAAGCCCGCGGCUCAACUGCGGGACUGCAUUUGGAACUGUAUGGCUGGAAGUGCAGGAGAGGCAGGCGGAAUUCCUAGUGUAGCGGUGAAAUGCGUAGAUAUUAGGAGGAACACCAGUGGCGAAGGCGGCCUGCUGGACUGUAACUGACGUUGAGGCUCGAAAGCGUGGGGAGCAAACAGGAUUAGAUACC
rnacentral:rRNA from 1 species